UACGUAGGGGGCAAGCGUUGUCCGGAAUUAUUGGGCGUAAAGAGCGUGUAGGCGGCUAGGUAGGUCCGUUGUGAAAACUCGAGGCUCAACCUCGAGACGUCGAUGGAAACCAUCUAGCUAGAGUCCGGAAGAGGAGAGUGGAAUUCCUGGUGUAGCGGUGAAAUGCGCAGAUAUCAGGAAGAACACCCGUGGCGAAGGCGGCUCUCUGGGACGUGACUGACGCUGAGACGCGAAAGCGUGGGGAGCGAACAGG
rnacentral:rRNA from 1 species